rnacentral:rRNA from 1 species
UUUUAUGAGAGUUUGAUCCUGGCUCAGGACGAACGCUGGCGGCGUGCCUAAUACAUGCAAGUCGAACGCUUCUUUUUCCACCGGAGCUUGCUCCACCGGAAAAAGAGGAGUGGCGAACGGGUGAGUAACACGUGGGUAACCUGCCCAUCAGAAGGGGAUAACACUUGGAAACAGGUGCUAAUACCGUAUAACAAUCGAAACCGCAUGGUUUUGAUUUGAAAGGCGCUUUCGGGUGUCGCUGAUGGAUGGACCCGCGGUGCAUUAGCUAGUUGGUGAGGUAACGGCUCACCAAGGCCACGAUGCAUAGGCCGACCUGAGAGGGUGAUCGGCCACAUUGGGACUGAGACACGGCCCAAACUCCUACGGGAGGCAGCAGUAGGGAAUCUUCGGCAAUGGACGAAAGUCUGACCGAGCAACGCCGCGUGAGUGAAGAAGGUUUUCGGAUCGUAAAACUCUGUUGUUAGAGAAGAAC